rnacentral:tRNA from 1 species
CAGAAAGUAGUUUAGUUUAGAAUCCUGGCUUUGGGAGUCAGGGGUGCGAGUUAGAAUCUCUCCUUUCUGG